rnacentral:rRNA from 1 species
GAGAGAGAGACAUGCGCGCAUAUCAAUAAGCGGAGGAAAAGAAACUAACAAGGAUUCCCUUAGUAACGGCGAGUGAAGUGGGAAGAGCUCAAAUUUGAAAUCUUCAAGGUUUUACCUUGACGAAUUGUAGUUUAAAGAAGUGUUUUCUGCUGAAGUUUUGGUAAAAGUUCUUUGGAAUAGGACAUCAUAGAGGGUGAGAAUCCCGUAUUUGACCAUUAUUUUCAGCUUUGUGAUACACUUUCAAAGAGUCGGAUUGUUUGGGAAUGCAGUCCAAAAUGGGUGGUAAAUUUCAUCUAAAGCUAAAUAUUGGCGAGAGACCGAUAGCGAACAAGUACCGUGAGGGAAAGAUGAAAAGAACUUUGAAAAGAGAGUUAAACAGUACGUGAAAUUGUCAAAAGGGAAGCGUUUGACACCAGUGUUGUUUUCUCGAAAAUCAAUUAAAAAUGGCUCGAUUUUGUAUUGCUUGAGACCUUAAAAGCUCACUGUACAUUUUUCGUGUCUUUUUUAAUGCACUUUUCGUUUAACAGGUCAACAUCAGUUUCUUUUGUUGUAAAAGGGUCAUUGGAAGGUGGCUUUCUUUUCGGAGAAAGUGUUUAUAGCCUUUGGCCUCUGCAAUCGGAGAGACUGAGGUCUGCAGCGUAGACUCUUCGGGGUUAGAUACAUUUGUGCUAAGUUAUAGCCUUUUCAUAGACAACUUGUUGACUAUAAUCAGUCAUGUAGCUUACUCGCUUAUGCUAUUUUACCUACGCUUAGGAUGUUGAGUCGUAGAGCACGCAG